AAUCAAGCGCGAGAAGGGCGUUUGGUGAAUGCCUAGGCAGUAAGAGGCGAUGAAGGACGUGAUACUCUGCGAUAAGCCAUGAGGAGCUGAGAAUAAGCUUUGAUCCAUGGAUUUCCGAAUGGGGCAACCCACCUGACAGUUUGAUAUAAUUGCCUUUGGGCAGCUUAUAUCUUGCUGAAACAGGUACUUAUUACCUGAAUACAUAGGGUUUUAAGAGCAAACCCGGGGAACUGAAACAUCUAAGUACCCGGAGGAAAGGACAUCAAUUGAUACUCCCCUAGUAGCGGCGAGCGAACGGGGACCAGCCGAGCCUUGAGCGUGACUAGAAUGUGCUGGAAAGCACAGCCAUAGCGGGUGACAGCCCCGUAUAGGAAGCGUGAUGGGACGUAUUAAGUAGGGCGGGACACGUGAAAUCCUGUCUGAAGAUCGGAGGACCACCUUCGAAGGCUAAGUACUCCUUACUGACCGAUAGUGAACCAGUACCGUGAGGGAAAGGUGAAAAGCACCCCGACGAGGGGAGUGAAACAGUACCUGAAACCGAACGCCUACAAUCAGUCGGAGCCCCCUUGCGGGGUGACGGCGUACCUUUUGUAUAAUGGGUCAUCGACUUGGUCUAUCUAGCAAGCUUAAGCCGUUAGGUGUAGGCGCAGCGAAAGCGAGUCUGAAUAGGGCGCAUGAGUUAGAUGGAUCAGACCCGAAACCGAGUGAUCUAGGCAUGGCCAGGUUGAAGGUUGGGUAACACCAACUGGAGGACCGAACCCACAUCCGUUGAAAAGGAUCGGGAUGAGCUGUGCCUAGGGGUGAAAGGCCAAUCAAACUCGGAGAUAGCUGGUUCUCUGCGAAAUCUAUUUAGGUAGAGCGUCAUCCGAAUACCCCCGGGGGUAGAGCACUGGAUGGGUAAUGGGGCCCCACAGGCUUACUGAUCCUAACCAAACUCCGAAUACCGGGGAGUACUAGAUGGCAGACACACAGCGGAUGCUAACGUCCGUUGUGGAGAGGGAAACAACCCUGACCUACAGCUAAGGCCCCCAAUUCAUGGCUAAGUGGGAAAGCAGGUGGGACGACCAAAACAACCAGGAGGUUGGCUUAGAAGCAGCCAUCCUUUAAAGAUAGCGUAACAGCUCACUGGUCUAAAUAAGUUGUCCUGCGGCGAAGAUGUAACGGGGCUCAAGCCAUGAGCCGAAGCUUAGGAUGCACAUAGUGCAUGGUAGCAGAGCGUAGUGUGACAUAGGACUACGUCUCUUCUAUUUUAGCGGACCGUUUGGGUCUGCUUGGGUGCUAACGCGCUCAAGUAGCCCUCCGGGCGGUAGCGCAAAAUAAUGGAGACGAAGUCUUUUCUGUGAAGCCGGCGUGUGAGCGAUCCGGUGGAGAGAUCACUAGUGAGAAUGAUGACAUGAGUAGCGACAAAGAGUGUGAGAGACACUCUCGCCGAAAGUCCAAGGGUUCCUGCUUAAAGCUAAUCUGAGCAGGGUAAGCCGGCCCCUAAGCCGAGGCCGAAAGGCGUAGGCGAUGGGAACCACGUUAAUAUUCGUGGGCCAGAUGGAAGUGACGGAUCUCGAAGAUUGUUCCUCCUUAUCGGAUUGGAGGGGCCGUUCAGAGGUUCCUGGAAAUAGCUCCAUCAUCAGACCGUACCCUAAACCGACACAGGUGGACUGGUAGAGAAUACCAAGGCGCUUGAGAGAACGAUGUUGAAGGAACUCGGCAAAAUACCUCCGUAAGUUCGCGAGAAGGAGGCCCGGUUCCUAGGCAACUAGGGGCUGGGGGCACAAACCAGGGGGUGGCGACUGUUUAUUAAAAACACAGGGCUCUGCGAAGUCGCAAGACGACGUAUAGGGUCUGACGCCUGCCCGGUGCCUGAAGGUUAAAAGGAGGGGUGAGAGCUCUGAAUUGAAGCCCAGGUAAACGGCGGCCGUAACUAUAACGGUCCUAAGGUAGCGAAAUUCCUUGUCGGGUAAGUUCCGACCUGCACGAAUG
rnacentral:rRNA from 1 species